GCAUUUGGCCUUUGCCUGGUUCAAGUAAUCCAGGAUAGGUUAGUUCCCACUAGUACGGCCUAUUCUUGGUUACUUGUUUCAGGAGGAGGCUACGAGC
ensembl:miRNA dre-mir-26b microRNA 26b